AUCUAUUUAGGUAGAGCCUUAUGUGAAUACCUUCGGGGGUAGAGCACUGUUUCGGCUAGGGGUCCAUCCCGGAUUACCAACCCGAUGCAAACUGCGAAUACCGAAGAGUAAUGCAUAGGAGACACACAGUGGGUGCUAACGUCCAUCGUGGAGAGGGAAACAACCCAGACCGCCAGCUAAGGUCCCAAAGUCUAUAUUAAGUGGGAAACGAAGUGGGAAGGCUUAGACAGCUAGGAUGUUGGCUUAGAAGCAGCC
rnacentral:rRNA from 1 species